rnacentral:rRNA from 1 species
AUGGCUCUACGGAAGGGACUCAACUCCAUCAUCGCUCUCACCGCAUGGGCCAUCUGGAAGCACCAGAAUGGAUGUGUGUUUGACCAGCGACAACCCUCGAUCACAAGUCUAUUUCAAUCCAUUCAAGAAGACGCUCGCCUGUGGGCUAGCGCCGGCGCCAACGGCUUGGCAACCCUCAUACCUGAGAUAUAG